rnacentral:lncRNA from 1 species
AUGGGGCCUGCACGUCGUCCCCUGCUUCGUCUCGGAGCAUCGUCCCCUGCUCCUGGCGUGGCACCGAGGUCAGCGCAGAGCCCCAGCCUCCUCUUGCGCCAUCCCUUGGGUGCUGUUGUCCUGAGGCUGCCCUGCUGCUUUUUGCUAACAGCUCGUUUCGGACACGAUCCUGCCCUGCCCUGUGCCCAGCUGCGAGCCAGAGGGCGGUGCUGGUGGCACGGCGGGGGCGCUCAGUGCCGUGGGGGACUCGGUGCCCGGGGGGGGGGCACCCGGUGCCUGUGGGCUGUGCCCUCCUCCCCCCUGCCCUGCUCGGCAGCCGCAGGGUUGCUUAGGGGAUGCUGUUGGUUAAGGUCUGGCUCAGCACCCUGUCCCCGGAGUGCUGUGCACCCUUGUCCCUGCAGUGCCGUGCACCUCAUUGCUGGCGUGCUGUGUACCCUGUCCUUGGCUGUGCUGUGCGCCCUGUAUCCCCGGUGUGCACCCCGUAUCCCUGCUGUGCACCCCAUGUCCCCGGGGUGCUGUGCACCCUUCUGGAGGGAUGCCCAGACGCGCUGGCUGUGUACCAGCAGGAUCUGGGGCAAGGAAGUGUGCCCAAAGGGCAGCGAGGCACCUCUGGGCACAUUCGGACCACGGUGCAGGACCGCUGGAGCACCGGGGGGUGACCUGGGCCCCCCCUUUGCCCUUCCACCACCUCCUUGCGGUGUCCCCUGGUGGACCCCCAACCGGGGGGGCCGGGGGGGCCCCCAUUGUCCCGCAGGAAGGGUCGGGGCGGUGGGACAGGACGCGCGGGCAGGGCGGCGUGGGAAAGCCGUGGUGGGGACAGCCCCGGCUGCCGGCAGCCCCGUCUGCACCCGGGGGGCCGCUGGCGGGCGAGGGGGGGCCCGGCUGCUGCUUUGGCUUUGUUUGUCCGCCUGGAAGGCGGCUUCCGUCCAUUCUUCGCCUGGCGGAGGUGUAAGCUGGCCGGGCUGGGGACGUCCCUGUCACUGGCCUGGGAGCCUAUGCUUCCCUGCCAGCACCCCUUCCCGGCUCGCUAAUCAUUUACCGGCUAAAUUAGCAAUUAACUCCUGCCCCAGCAGCCUGGCUGCGCCAUGGCCGGGCUGGCACGUGGUGAUCACGGGUUCCCCGCCACCGGGAUGUCCCGCAGGCCGUUGCCACCACCGCGGGGGCUUUGCCGGGCUGGGGACACCACCAAGGGGACCGCAGGCGGUGGCACGGCCCCGCCGGGCUCUGCGCAGCGCCGGGGCUUUCCUCGGGCCGCUGCUGACUCAGGCCGUGCGCGGGGACAGAGCCAGGAGAGCUGUCGUCACCGUGCGGGGGACACGGCUCAGCUGGCCCGGGGCGCGGGCUCAAUGA